CCCUUAGAUGUCCUGGGCCGCACGCGCGUUACACUGAUGCAUUCAACGAGCUUAUAACCUUGGCCGAGAGGCCUGGGCAAUCUUGUUAACGUGCAUCGUGAUAGGGAUAGAUUAUUGAAAUUAUUAAUCUUGAACGAGGAAUUCCUAGUAAACGCAGAUCAUCAAUCUGCAUUGAUUACGUCCCUGCCCUUUGUACACACCGCCUGUCGCACAAACCGAUUGAAUGAUUCGGUGAAAAUUUUGGACAUCGAGAGUGGUGAUUAAUUUCGCUGCUCUUAAAUGGAAAGAAUUUAAACCUAAUUAUUUAGAGGAUUGUGAAGUCAUAACA
rnacentral:rRNA from 1 species